UACGUAGGUGGCAAGCGUUGUCCGGAUUUACUGGGCGUAAAGAGCGCGCAGGCGGUCGUUCAAGUCGCGUGUGAAAGCCCCCGGCUCAACUGGGGAGGGUCACGCGAUACUGAUCGACUCGAAGGCAGGAGAGGGUAGUGGAAUUCCCGGUGUAGUGGUGAAAUGCGUAGAUAUCGAGAGGAACACCGGUGGCGAAAGCGGCACCCUGGCCGGUUUCUGACGCUGAGGCGCGAAAGCGUGGGUAGCAAACAGG
rnacentral:rRNA from 1 species